CAGAGACUGCAAGCGUUAUUCGGAUUCACUGGGCGUAAAGGGUGCGCAGGCGGCCGUGUGUGUGAGGCGUGAAAGCCCGGGGCUUAACCCCGGAAUUGCACCUCAAACUACAUGGCUAGAGCAUUGGAGAGGGUAGCAGAAUUCAUGGUGUAGCAGUGAAAUGCGUAGAUAUCAUGAGGAAUACCAGAGGCGAAGGCGGCUACCUGGACAAUUGCUGACGCUCAGGCACGAAAGCGUGGGGAGCAAAAGGGAUUAGAUACCCCUGUAGUCCACGCCCUAAACGGUGCACACUAGGUCUUGGCGGAUUCGACCCCCCCAGGGCCCCACGCUAACGCGUUAAGUGUGCCGCCUGAGGACUACGGCCGCAAGGCUA
rnacentral:rRNA from 1 species